rnacentral:rRNA from 1 species
AUACGGAGGGUCCGAGCGUUAAUCGGAAUUACUGGGCGUAAAGCGCGCGUAGGUGGAUGUAUAAGUCAGAUGUGAAAGCCCUGGGCUCAACCUAGGAACUGCAUUUGAAACUGUACGUCUAGAGUAUGGUAGAGGUGAGUGGAAUUUCAGGUGUAGCGGUGAAAUGCGUAGAGAUCAGAAGGAACAUCAGUGGCGAAGGCGACUCACUGGGCCAUUACUGACACUGAGGUGCGAAAGCGUGGGUAGCAAACAGGAUUAGAAACCCCUGUAGUCC